rnacentral:snRNA from 1 species
GAGCUCAGAGUAGGCGAAA